GUCUGCUAGUAGGAACAACAAAAUUGCUUAACAAUGUAUUUUUCCUGGGCCAUAAAGGGUGAACUCGCGACGAUUCCAGCCAUCCUGCUGGCUUGGCAAUUGUUAAGAUUCAGCCGGUUUUUGGUCUAAAUUGAGGAUGAGCAGAUCUUGAAAUGCCCAACUCAUUGUACUUGGGUGAAAAAGGAUACUAUGGAAGUGUCAAAAGUACAAACUAGUAUUAAGUGGUCUGCAUGGGCGUGUAAACAUAUGUGCUUUGUCCAUACUAUCUGGUACAAGAGGGGCACAGACCUGGAGGCAGUAUGCUGAGCUACCAACCAGUUCCACUUAGUGUGGGACAUCUUACCGAGAGUCACAGCUAGUACCACCACAGAAACCUUCAGGCUGAUGCCAGAAUCCUGUACUGAUCUACAUGGAUGCUGGAAGACUCUGUAGAUGCAGGUCAAAGUGGGAAGGAUUUCUUAAUAAUAUUGAAAUACAGCCCCACUCUGCCUCUUUAUUUUUGCUGUCUCCUUUUUCUGAGCUAAAUUUUACCAAUUUCCCUGACCAGAGCUCAUUGCAGUGGCAGAGCUAUGACUCACCUGGUAGUUUCUGAGAUUGCCAGGCAUUCCCUUCUAAAUCUUUUCAUCCCCUUCAGCCUAUUUUUAAAUGCCUGGCCUCUGUUCUUAAGUGCUGGUAUUGAGCAAAAUAUAAAUACAGUGCAACCCCUGGUUUUAACCUUGGUCUUGAUCCUCCUCCUAUUCUAGUUAAAUGUAAUAAAAAAGAAAGGUAACAUGAAAAUGUAUAUAAUUUUUUUAAAGAUGUUUAGAAUUCUUUAAAAUACAUGAGUCAGCUAAGCAUUUAAAAGUAAAAUAUAGAUAUAAAAUUAUUCAGACAGGGUGAUAUAAUAUAGAAUUUAAAUUGAGCAUAUUUUAGCAGCACUGGGAAACCUUACCCCAGAGCUAAUAAUGUAAUAGAUCUAUCUCACCAACAACUUGGAAGUUGCAACAGAGUUUUAUCCACAAAGGAGAGUUCUCUGGCCUACUUUAUUAAAUACCUUAGAGGACUUUGCCUGUAAGAUUACAUUUGAACAAUGUGAUUUAUUAAAAUCUCAGUUCUUAUUUUUCCUGCUGAAAUUUUAGACAUUUUCUAUGGAAAAAAUGCAUAAACAAAUCCAACAGGAUAAAUAAACAUCAUUCAACAAAUGUUUCAUGAAACAGGCAUAUAAGGAAAACAUCCCAUAGUUUAUUUUUCAACAUCGCUUGUAUACUCAUGUUUAUGCAUCUCCCUCUUUUGCUAUGGUAUAUCAGACAAAUUAUGUUCCUGAUUAAAAGUACUUUUCAAAUCUGAAGCAGAGCUGGGAAAAUAAU